UUGAACGCUGGCGGCAUGCCUUACACAUGCAAGUCGAACGGCAGCACGGGAGUAAUCCUGGUGGCGAGUGGCGAACGGGUGAGUAAAGCAUCGGAACGUGCCCAGUCGUGGGGGAUAACGUAGCGAAAGCUACGCUAAUACCGCAUACGAUCUGUGGAUGAAAGCGGGGGACCGUAAGGCCUCGCGCGAUUGGAGCGGCCGAUGUCAGAUUAGGUAGUUGGUGAGGUAAAGGCUCACCAAGCCGACGAUCUGUAGCUGGUCUGAGAGGACGACCAGCCACACUGGGACUGAGACACGGCCCAGACUCCUACGGGAGGCAGCAGUGGGGAAUUUUGGACAAUGGGCGCAAGCCUGAUCCAGCAAUGCCGCGUGCAGGAUGAAGGCCUUCGGGUUGUAAACUGCUUUUGUACGGAGCGAAAAGGCUUCCACUAAUACUGGGGGCUCAUGACGGUACCGUAAGAAUAAGCACCGGCUAACUACGUG
rnacentral:rRNA from 1 species